rnacentral:rRNA from 1 species
GAUGAACGCUGGCGGCGUGCCUAAUACAUGCAAGUAGAACGCUGAAGGAGGGGCUUGCUCUUCUGGAUGAGUUGCGAACGGGUGAGUAACGCGUAGGUAACCUGCCUUGUAGUGGGGGAUAACUAUUGGAAACGAUAGCUAAUACCGCAUGACAACAGUUAUUGCAUGAUAACUGUUUAAAAGGUGCAACUGCUCCACUACCAGAUGGACCUGCGUUGUAUUAGCUAGUUGGUGAGGUAACGGCUCACCAAGGCGACGAUACAUAGCCGACCUGAGAGGGUGAUCAGCCACACUGGGAGGGAGACACGGCACAGAGUGAUUGGGGAGGGAGCAGUAGGGAUUCUGGGGGAAGGAGCGGAAGACAGACCGAGAAGCGCGGAGUGAGGGAAGAAGGAUUCCGGGUCGUGAAGGUCGGUUGUAGGAGAAGAAAGAGUGUGCGACUGGAAAGUUGAGACAGUGACGGUAACUUACAAAGAAGGGACGGCUAACUACGUG